UUUGUAUUUACUUUUUGAAAGUUUAAAUAUAGUUCUAUGCAUCAUUUUAUCAAUAUUUCCGGUGUGAACGAUUUUAAGUGUUCUUUCUUUUAGUUUCAGUGUUGUCUGCGCGAAUGUUUAGGCAUUCUCAAACAACCUAGUUUUAUUUGGUAUUGAAGAGCCGAAAAAUCUACUAUAAUCACCAGUGGCUUAAGUUUAUUUGAUGAACGGAAUAAAGAGAAUGUGCCUGUCCCAAAUGAUAACUAAAAAGCUUCAACAUCCAAAAAAAAAGCAUCCACGAUUUAUCUAUUUAUUAUUUUAAGGUGGAAGAAUUGCGUAGUAAAAUCAAAACAUUGAAUAAAGAGCAUAAUCGUCAAACAUUUACUCUGUAGCAACAAGUUGCGAGAUUAUAAAAAUAUUUGCUGCUUUACUUAUAUGGACUACGCUCCUCUGCAAAAUAAAUUUUUAUUGCUUUAAA